UACGAGGGGGGCGAGCGUUGUUCGGAAUUAUUGGGCGUAGAGGGUGCGUAGGCGGUUUGGUAAGUCUUAUGUGAAAUCUAUGGGCUCAACUCAUAGUCUGCAUGAGAAACUGCCGGGCUUGAGUAUGGGAGAGGUGAGUGGAAUUCCUGGUGUAGCGGUGAAAUGCGUAGAUAUAGGAAGGAACACCAGUGGCGAAGGCGACCACCUGGACUAAUACUGACACUGAGGUGCGAAAGCGUGGGGAGCAAACAGG
rnacentral:rRNA from 1 species